rnacentral:rRNA from 1 species
CCUACGGGAGGCAGCAGUGAGGAAUAUUGGUCAAUGGGCGAGAGCCUGAACCAGCCAAGUUGCGUGAGGGAAGACGGUCCUAUGGAUUGUAAACCUCUUUUGUCGGGGAGCAAAAAGGCCUCGUGAGGCCACAAGUGAGAGUACCCGAAGAAAAAGCAUCGGCUAACUCCGUGCCAGCAGCCGCGGUAAUACGUAGGUGGCAAGCGUUGUCCGGAUUUACUGGGUGGAAAGGGCGUGUAGCCGGGCUGACAAGUCAGAUGUGAAAUCCGGGGGCUCAACCCCCGAACUGCAUUUGAAACUGUUGGUCUUGAGUAUCGGAGAGGCAGGCGGAAUUCCUAGUGUAGCGGUGAAAUGCGUAGAUAUUAGGAGGAACCCCAGUGGCUAAGGCGGCCUGCUGGACGACAACUGACGGUGAGGCGCGAAAGCGUGGGGAGCAAACAGGAUUAGAUACCCUGGUAGUC